CUCUAGGGCCAAUUGAAUUUGAAAAGUGGUGCAGAGUUUCUAAAUCGGAUUUGAUUUGAUUAGAGGAUUUCGGAUCGGCAGACGACAUGGCUGGUAGAUGUCACUUUGGUGCUGACAGUUGAGAUCGAUCAUUGAGGUUAAUAUCAAUGGUCGAAGUUGAAAGGCUUUCCACUAGGAGACAUUACUUGGGAUGGAUCGAUCAGAAAGUGAGGAUCGGUAGGAUCCGAGACUGUUCGGAUCUUUGACUUGCUUAUGUCUUUGGCUUGGGUGAUACAUUACCCCUAACACAUGCCCCAUACUUUCUAGUUUGAGCC
rnacentral:lncRNA from 1 species